GAUGAACGCUGGCGGCGUGCCUAAUACAUGCAAGUCGAGCGAACAGACGAGGAGCUUGCUCCUCUGACGUUAGCGGCGGACGGGUGAGUAACACGUGGAUAACCUACCUAUAAGACUGGGAUAACUUCGGGAAACCGGAGCUAAUACCGGAUAAUAUAUUGAACCGCAUGGUUCAAUAGUUAAAGACGGUUUUGCUGUCACUUAUAGAUGGAUCCGCGCCGCAUUAGCUAGUUGGUAAGGUAACGGCUUACCAAGGCGACGAUGCGUAGCCGACCUGAGAGGGUGAUCGGCCACACUGGAACUAGGACACGGUCCAGACUCCUACGGGAGGCAGCAGUAGGGAAUCUUCCGCAAUGGGCGAAAGCCUGACGGAGCAACGCCGCGUGAGUGAUGAAGGUCUUCGGAUCGUAAAACUCUGUUAUUAGGGAAGAACAAAUGUGUAAGUAACUAUGCACGUCUGGACGGUACCUAAUCAGAAAGCCACGGCUAACUACGU
rnacentral:rRNA from 1 species